rnacentral:rRNA from 1 species
GAUGAACGCUGGCGGCGUGCCUAAUACAUGCCAGUCGAGCGAACAGACGAGGAGCUUGCUCCUCUGACGUUUGCGGCGGACGGGUGAGUAACACGUGGAUAACCUACCUAUAAGACUGGGAUAACUUCGGGAAACCGGAGCUAAUACCGGAUAAUAUAUUGAACCGCAUGGUUCAAUAGUGAAAGACGGUUUUGCUGUCACUUAUAGAUGGAUCCGCGCCGCAUUAGCUAGUUGGUAAGGUAACGGCUUACCAAGGCGACGAUGCGUAGCCGACCUGAGAGGGUGAUCGGCCACACUGGAACUGAGACACGGUCCAGACUCCUACGGGAGGCAGCAGUAGGGAAUCUUCCGCAAUGGGCGAAAGCCUGACGGAGCAACGCCGCGUGAGUGAUGAAGGUCUUCGGAUCGUAAAACUCUGUUAUUAGGGAAGAACAAAUGUGUAAGUAACUAUGCACGUCUUGACGGUACCUAAUCAGAAAGCCACGGCUAACUACGUG